rnacentral:sRNA from 1 species
AGCCAUGGGCAACUCCUUGAAAGUUGGCUGUGGUUAGCGGGUCGUGAGUGUUGGUAGCACUUGCGGCCCGCGCU